AGCAAAAUGAUGAAACUAGAAUUUUUUAUAUAUCUGAAUUUGAUGUAGAACCUCAUAUCAUGCCUUCAAAGUUCUCUGAUUGCU